rnacentral:rRNA from 1 species
GGGAAUCCCAAGUGCUUGCUCGUAAGAGUAAGCUGUUUCUAUGUCUAAAAAGCAGAGAGAGUAAGAGCUGGGUAAGACGGGUGCCAGCCGCCGCGGUAAUACCUGCAGCUCAAGUGGUGACCACUAUUAUUGGGCCUAAAACGUCCGUAGCCGGUUUAGUAAAUGCCUGGGUAAAUCGAGCCGCUUAACGGUUCGAAUUCCGGGUAGACUGCUAAACUUGAGACCGGGAGAGGCUAGAGGUACUCCUGGGGUAGAGGUGAAAUUCUGUAAUCCUGGGGGGACCACCAGUGGCGAAGGCGUCUAGCUAGAACGGGUCUGACGGUGAGGGACGAAGCCCUGGGGCGCAAACCGGAUUAGAUACCCGGGUAGUCCAGGGUGUAAACGCUGCUUGCUUGAUGUUAGUUGGGCUCUGAGCCCGAUUAGUGUCGGAGAGAAGUUGUUAAGCAAGCUGCCUGGAAGUACGUCGCAAGGC